rnacentral:rRNA from 1 species
GGCGGACGGGUGAGUAACGCGUAAGAACUUGCCCUUUAGACUGGGAUAACAGAGGGAAACUUCUGAUAAUACUGGAUAAGUUAGUAUAUCGCAUGAUAUGCAAAUGAAAGCUACGGCACUAAAGGAGAGCUUUGCGUCCUAUUAGCUAGUUGGUAAGGUAAGAGCUUACCAAGGCGAUGAUAGGUAGCCGGCCUGAGAGGGUGGACGGCCACAAGGGGACUGAGAUACGGCCCUUACUCCUACGGGAGGCAGCAGUG